CCCGGCUUCUGGAGAGGCAGCUGGCAGCAGCCAAGUGACAUUCCUUUUCCCGUGCCGAUGUGUUGUGAGCUCAGCUGUAAAAAGCAUGAGGACGUUCCUAAGAAGUCCCAAUAAUUUACGAUCACAAAAGCUGGUGGGAAGAGGCAUGCCAAGGAGACAGCAAACCGGAAUUAGCCGACACAAAACAGCUUCUGAUAGAACUCCGGGACUGGGUUAAGUCCGUGCCCGACGACCAAGAAAAUGUAAAUUCGGAAGCCAAUGAACCAAAAUUGGUGGCUCAAAAAUUCUGCCAGUUGCCUCUCCACUCCCAGCCGAAGCCAUGCCGUGCCAGUCUGCUGCGGUGCCCUUGCCUGAUUGGUGGACAAAAUAAUGAGGGGAGGGGCUAUUAAACAAAAAGACUUUGUGGGCACAAUACGGAAGCACAGACGGAUGCUACUGGAGUGAGCGUCACCAUGGAGUUCGAAGGGACUGCCAAGGUCAUCUAGUCUAAGAUGCAGGAUUUGUUGUGUCUAAACCAUCCAAGACAGCCUCUUUUGAAAGUCUCCAGUGAAGGAGCUUCCACAGCCUCCCUAGGCAUUUAUUCCAUUCUCCUACUGCUCUUUCAGCGAGGGAGUUUUUCCUGAGAUUUCAUCUAAAGCUGCUGGGCUGUUGUUUGAACCCACUGCCCCUUGUCCUGUCCUCCGUGGCAAGGGAGAACAACUUUUCUCCAUCUUUUUUAUGGCAGCCUUUCAAAUAUUUGAAGACCAUCACAGCGGUCGCCCCCCUACUGUUUCCUGGGACGCUGGACUUGCGUCACCUUAAAUCUAUGUUCGGAGCAGACUGGGCCAGAGAGAGGGACCCAGCUGACACCGUGACCUCUGCUGGCGCCAGCUGAAUCCUCAACACCAUCCAAGUGACUGACAAGGUGGGUGAAGUAAUAUCUUUUAUUGGACCAACAGAAGAUAUGACCUCACCCACUCGGUUUCUCUCUCAUCCUGGAACCAACAAGUUAUAUAUAACAAGACUCCAAACAAUCUAAGAAACUGUCCAAGAAGGGAGUUUUUCCUUCUAAAACUCUCUCCUGCUAAGGGGAACUAGGGAUGUUGUUAAAACGAAAGCCUUAUUUAAUACCUGACAUUGCAAAUGCUGUCUCUGUUUUUCCUUUUUUUCUUUAUCUUUAAUAAAAGGUUACAAGAAUUUU